CAAUGCUCAAUCUGUUUGUUGAAAGAAGUUAUUGAAAUGUUUUUUUCAAAAAUCACUUAAAUUGCUUGAAAACUAAGCAUACUGCUAGAAGGAAUAAAAAGCAAUAAAACUAAAAUUAUUUAAAGGAUACAGAUUUAAAUUAUUUAAUUAUUUAAAGCAAUUGAGACUUGUCUAGGGUUAGGGUUGAGUAAAAUAAUCAAUUCUUUUCACAGGCAAUAAAUGAUGUUCUGUUUCCUGGCAGCUGAGGCAAAAAUGGAAAUAUGCCAUGCAUUAAACAUUAAUUUUCAUAGCGCAAGUAGAAAAGAAGGGAGGCCUAAAGUAGGAGAAGAUGAGGUCAAUUCGCUUCAUACCUGUGUUAAGUUGGGAAAGAUGAGAAAGAUCGGUGCCAUAACUUUGUCUUCCUUGACAUCACUUGCAGCUGGACUGUAUUUCAUUGUGACACUAUUCGUACUUCCUCUAAUUUUGGCAAAUGGGCUGAAGGAAAGACAGUGGUCACAAAGAUUGAGGUUAGUUAUCUUCUCUUAUUACCUGAAGAAAGUGCGAAAUAUAAUAAAUACAACCUUAAAAAAGUAG
rnacentral:lncRNA from 1 species